UCUUCGGACGCUGACGAGUGGCGAACGGGUGAGUAAUACAUCGGAACGUGCCCGAUCGUGGGGGAUAACGAGGCGAAAGCUUUGCUAAUACCGCAUACGAUCUACGGAUGAAAGCAGGGGACCGCAAGGCCUUGCGCGAACGGAGCGGCCGAUGGCAGAUUAGGUAGUUGGUGGGAUAAAAGCUUACCAAGCCGACGAUCUGUAGCUGGUCUGAGAGGACGACCAGCCACACUGGGACUGAGACACGGCCCAGACUCCUACGGGAGGCAGCAGUGGGGAAUAUUGGGCAAUGGGCGCAAGCCUGACCCAGCGACGCCGCGUGAGGGAUGAAGGCCUUCGGGUUGUAAACCUCUUUCAGUAGGGAAGAAGCGAAAGUGACGGUACCUAAAGAAGAAGCACCGGCUAACUAUGUGCCAGCAGCCGCGGUAAU
rnacentral:rRNA from 1 species